rnacentral:rRNA from 1 species
GGUUGCGAUCAUACCGCACUAAUGCACCGGAUCCCAUCAGACUCCGCAGUUAAGGCGUGCUUGGGCGAGAGUAGUACUAGGAUGGGUGACCCCCUGGGAAGUCCUCGUGUUGCACCCC